rnacentral:tRNA from 1 species
GGGGAUGUGGCUUAGUGGUAGAGUGCUUGCUUAGCAUGCAUGAAGCCCUGGGUUCGAUUUCUCAGCUCCCCCC